AAUGAACGCUGGCGGCGUGCUUUACACAUGCAAGUCGAGCGAGGCGGGUAGCAAUACCCAGUCGAGCGGCGAACGGGUGAGUAACGCGUGGAUUAUCUGCCCUCAGGUGGGGGAUAACCCGGGGAAACUCGGGCUAAUACCGCAUAACAUCUCCGGAUCAAAGGGGGCGCAAGCUCCCGCCAGAGGAGGAGUCCGCGUACGAUUAGCUAGUUGGCAGGGUAAUGGCCUACCAAGGCGACGAUCGUUAGCCGGCCUGAGAGGGUGAUCGGCCACACUGGAACUGAGACACGGUCCAGACUCCUACGGGAGGCAGCAGUGGGGAAUUUUGCGCAAUGGGCGGAAGCCUGACGCAGCAACGCCGCGUGGAGGGUGAAGGUCCUUGGAUUGUAAACUCCUGUCAGCAGGGAAGAAAUCU
rnacentral:rRNA from 1 species